AUAUUUGUAAAUGCAAGCUACUAGAGAUAGUAACUUAGAGCCUCCUCUCUUUAAGAAAUGGCAAUGCAAGUUACUAGAUAUAGUUACUUAGAGCCAAUUCAGAUUGUAAAAGGUUUUUUUCGGUCGGUGUUAAUAUGGAGGAAAGGCACUCCACACCACCCCCCCUUUAUGUAAUUUUGAUCAUUAAUCAACGAGGUAGGGGUCUAUGCCUAACCCCCCACCACCGCAAGAAACGGGGUGGAUGGCUUAUAUAUAAAAAAAAAACAUACCAUUUUUGAAAGAUCCAAAACAAGUACCCCAAACAUAUAUAUUUAAGGAUCCGACAUGAGUACGUAAACAUACUAUUUUCGAAGGAUCCAAUACAAAUGUCCCAAACAUAUAUACUUUUCAUUCAAAAAUAGUGUAACUUUAAGGAUCUGACAUGAGUGUGAUAAAUAUACUAUUUUUGAAGCAUCCACACUAGUGCCCAAAUAUGCUAUGUUUUGAAGAAUUCAAAACGAGUGCGGCAACAUGAGUAAAACAUACUAUUUUUGAAGAUAUUUUAAGGAUCCAAAACAAAUAUCCCAAACAUAUAUACUAUCAUUCAAAAAUAGUAUACCCCAAACAUAUAUACUAUCAGUCAAAAAUAGUAUACUUCUAAGAAUUCGAAGUGAGUGCGAUAAACAUACUGUUUUUGAAGGAUCCAAAAUACAUGUGUCCAAAUAUACUAUUUUUUGAACUAUUCAAAACGAGUGCAACAACAUAUUUAGAGAGUCCGAGCACUUAAAAAACGAAGUGUAGGAAUAGGAAAGGGAAACCUUUUCUUGAACACUGGCUUUAGUCUUCUCCAUGCCAGCCUUAGCUGCAGCUGCUGCAUCCUUUCCGGUCUGCAUUUUCCC